CUUACAAAUGUCGUAUACAAUCUUUUUUUUUUUUUUUUUUUUUUUAAUUAGUCCUCUUAGGUCUGUUCUUCCCACUUAAGGAGUUCACUCACUCAAACUUAUCUACCCGAGACAAGAAAAAUAAGCAUUUUUUUUUGUGCAAAUAGAAACAAGCAUAAGCAUCCUCAUUACAAGAUGUGUUGAAGGGGAAACAAAGCAAGCCAUCGGAUUGUGUCAGCGUUUUCUUUGUGAAGUUGACCAGAGUGUUUAAUUUGUAGAAUAUUUUGUAUCGUUUUUCUUUUUCGUGAUAAAGAUGUAUUAUAUAGAUGUAUGUGUGUAGAUGUAUAUAGGUUUGAAUGUAUAGAUGUAUGUAUAGAUGUUGUGAAUAUAUAGAUGUAUGUAUAGGGUGUGAAUGCAUAGAUGUAUGUAUAGGGUUGUGAAUAUAUAGAUGUAUGUAUAGGGUUGUGAAUAUAUAGAUGUAUGUAUAGGGUACAUAGAUGUAUAUAGGCUGCAUACGUAUGUGGGAGAGCGUAUAGAAGCGCGGAAUGCGUGACUAUAGAGUGUACGUAGUAGAGCGGGAGUGACAACGCGAGUAGACGAACGCGGAAAAACACUAACAAACACACCACAAAACGUUAGUCAAAACAUUAAAGAUUUGAAUGAAUGUUAUUAGACUGGGACGUACAAAUCGGUCACUAGCAUAGUCUGUCUUAAACAUUAAACCCCCACUUAACAAAAAAAAGAAUUACAGUGACGGAUUUGUCCAUCCCGUAUAAAUGGAGAAAGAAAAAUCGAAAUGUUA